AUCCUGUCCUUUGCAGCAACAUGGAUGCAAAUGGAGGCCAUAAUUUUAAGCAAACUAACGUAGGAACAAAAAAUCAAAUACCUCACAUUCUCACUUAUAAGUAGGAGCUAAACACUGAGUACACAUAGACACAAAGAAGGGAAUAAUAGACACCAGGACCUACUUAAAGUUGGAGGGUAGAAGGAGGGCGAGGAACAAAAAACUACCUAUUGAGUAUUAUGCUCACUACCUGGGUAAUGAAAUAAUCUGUACACCAAACCUCAGCAACGUACAGUUUACCCACGUAACAGAACUGCACAUGUACCCCAUGAGCCUAAAAUAAAAGUUGAAAGGAAAAAAACGUAAUUCUCGUAACACAAAAAAAUAAUUAAAUAAAUAAAGGACACUAGGGAGAUAGGUGAUUUGCAGUUGGCUAAGCCUCUGAGCAUUGCUCCAUGUUCCAUCCUACCUGGACUAAAAGUUAGAAAGUCAUCAUUUAGGGUCAAAAAAAGAAAAGAGUUGGAAAAGCAACGGACCUCCUUUUCUACUAAAGUGGCUCAAAACUGUUGGAAGAAGUUGAAUCAAAGUUGAUAUAAAUGUCAUAAAAAACAUCUUUAACAGAAAAAAAAAAGGUCACACAAUAAACCUUGAAUAAAGAGUUAAGGAACGCACCAAGUGUUCAGAAUGGCUAGACCAUAAUGACAUGAGCAUGAAAAUGAGAAAAAAACAAAAAAUAGAUAGCUUUCUGGAUCUCUUCCAGAAAGUGAAAAAUACACUUCUCUAAAUCCGUAACAAAUAUCUGGGUCCUUCAAGGAAUCAAAUAUUUUUAAAUAGCCUACAGGACACAAGACUGUAACUCUUCCUAAGUGAAACACUUGAGGAAGGUAGCUCUUGAAGUAUCUGGGUUGGCUGAACAUUGAUAAACACAGUACAUUGAUUGUAAUCACUGGGCUGCAGUGAUUUAUAAAAAAUAAUUCCAAAAAUUGAUUUUGGACAUGUCACAAAGCUCAAGAACAAGACGUCUCAUUCUGCCAGAAAUCCCCAGCAGAACUGAGAAUAACGCUGAGCUGUAUUAAAAUGGUAGCAUAAAUAUUACUUUGUUUGAUUAAAAUUUAAACAAAUUGUAAUGAACAGAUACAACGGCUCUUUUAGACUUUAUAUUGACCACAUUUAAAGAUCAAACAGCCCAGCAGGAGUAUAUGACUUUCAAGCACUCUCAAAAUUAGUAUUUUGACUAAGAUUUUUUGAACUAAUAUUUAUAGAAUAUUUAUGUAACUGGGGCAACUUAAUAUUCUAAACAAUGACAAUUCUUCAAAGCAUUGCUCUAAAAGGAGGAAUUUAUAAUACAUACACGAUUAACAUUUCAUGACUGGCUGAUACAAGAUAAAUUUUGAUGUAAAAAUCUGAUGAUCCCUAAAGAGAGGCCUUCAAUAUGAUUGUUAUAAUGACUCAUUAAUAAGCCUGUGAAGGGCAUAACCAAGCUCCAUGCACAUGCCAUUUUUUAAUGAUUAUGGUCAGAAGUAGUAUUAAUUACUUUUUUAAAGCACAGAAAUACAACUGGUAGACCAAAAUAGAACACUGUCCCCUGCUUGCUAGCCCAGUGCCCAUCACUUCUAUAGUACCUAGAAUCACAUCCACUUUGGAGUCUAUUGGGAAUGUGAGUAAUCCAGAAAACACAGGUAUAUAUCCUGAUUCAGAAUAAUAGAAGCUCCUUGAUGUUACAUUGCAAUGGCUUUUCCAAAAGAUAUUCCAAACAUCUUUUGCUUAUUACAGAUGCUCUGAUAUGCUGCCCAGCCACUGAGAGGGCUGCCAGAAAGUCCUCAGAUAACAGCUCCCUUUGGAACCUCUAGCUGAAGAGAACCACUUUGCCCAAGUUUACUACCUUUUCCUAGGACAGCCAGCACACAGUGACUGAGCGCUGUGUGCAUCCCUGCCUGUUAAGUCAAACUGCAAAUGCUCAUUCCGGCUUCAGAAUGUCCGAGGCUUCACUGGAGAUGACUGAAUCCCAGCUUAAUUUCUCCUACUGUCCAACUUUCUUCUGUAGUAGCUUCCCCAACAGGUGUGGACCCAAAGAGCACUACCUAAUAAAUCUUUGGCAUGUUAGUCACAUCAUAGUCUGCUCCCCAGAGAACUCAAAGUGUAACAAUUAGUAGUCAACAACCCAACGUGUAGCAAUUACUAAUCAAAGUUCUCCUUCAACAACUGUCUUUAUGGAGAACUAGGAACCAUGGUAAUAGGACUAAAGCUCCAGGUUCUGGAACCAUGCUGUGAUGCAACGUGCAGGAUUGACCCAGAAUGACCUUAAAUUCUCACUGCCUAAAGAUUGGGCUGUCUGGGAGGGGCCCAACCACCUUGUCCCUGCAGGAGGAAAUUGGUUCCAGGAUUCCUGAGGAUAUCAGAAUCUGUGGCUGCUCAAGUCUCGUAUACAAAAUGAGAAUUUGUAAUCAACUGCUGAAGCAUUUAUAUGGUCCUAUUUAGAACAUCCUGGGAUGCUCCUACUAUGUGGGAUCUUUUGGAGAAAAAAAUCCAUACCUGAGCAAGUGGAGAGAAGGGACCAGAUUCAGAGGAUACCCAUAAAAUGAUCUGCAAGGGAAAACAAGUUUCUGACCAAGCACGGUUACAACCACAUCUUCCUGGGACAAAUGAGGACAUGUAUCAAUUCCUCACCAACCUUCCAUACACCCCAGGCUUACCUAGGAACUGCCUUCAGCACACCAUGUCUACCAGAGUGGCGGUAUAUAAUCACUAUUCAACUCCACAGCCAGAGAGAGGUGCAGAAGCCAUCACAGGAAAUGACUAGAUGCCCCUGAGCUCUCUGUUGCUGCUGCCGUGCGGGUGACUGGGAAUCACAUAGUUAACUAAAAGCUUUUACUCAGCUUAAUUUCCUCUACUCUACAUGAUAAUUGCUCUGUUCAUUUUCGCUUUACCUUUAAAUUCAGGGCACAUGCACAAAGACAUAAUGGUGUAAGAGUGGAAAAGAGAAGAUGUAUUUUCUAAGCUGCCUGCAGUCUGACAAUUGUUUGAAUGUGUGUGUACAUUUAACAAGAUGGUAGAUUACAGCAUUACCUUAUCUUCAGGGUAAAACUGCCAUUCAGGAUCCAAAAAUCUCCUAAUGGUUUAUUGAAAUGGUUCCCUCUUGCAAUGCAUCAUCACAGUAGUUUAUGAUAAGGAGAAAAGUAUGUUCUGAUACAAAUCAAAUAAUGCCAAAUACAAAGAGUUGUAAGAGAAAUAGCUCACUUGGGAGAUAGAGAGAAUUGAAGAAAAUGUAUUGGGUGAGAGACGCUAACUAGACCUCUGGAAAGAGAAGUCAGCAAUGACCCAAAUGGGAUACUUGAUUCUCUUCAGUGGUCAAAAACCCUCAGGAGAAGGAUAAAUAGGUAUUUAUUAUUUGGUAUAGGACAUGAUAUUUUGAAAUACCUAUAUAUUAUGUAAUGGUUAAAUUGAGCUAAUAAAAUAAACAUGUAUAAACAUCUAACAAGCAUGUACAAUGUGUUGU
rnacentral:lncRNA from 1 species